UUGGUUGUGUGAGGAUCUGGUGAGACUGUGCUUCUGAACUCAUCUUUCCAAAUUCUUCACCCUCCUCAUGGGGGUAGAUGAGCCCAAGGGGAAACCAGGAGUCAGGGCUGAACUGAUGGAGAAUGUCUUUGAAGGUGGAAACAUCAGUCUGGAAAAAAGAGCUUAUUUCUAGGUUCCUUUCUCAGCUAGAGGGAGGAAGGUUUGGACCGAAAAGCAAACAUUUUCUCUUGUGCCACACACUGAGACUACUUUGGAUGGAAUUCUGCAUCACAUCAUGUCCUGCCUGAUUCCUGACUCCACACCCUUCUCAUGUCCACAGCCGAGAUCCCAUUGCCCACCUCUGUAGCCUCCACCCCAGCCCUGACAUCAGGCAGAAUCUGCAGAGACCAAGGAGGUAUCUUUCUCUUCCAUCUCUCUCUGCUUCUGGUUUGCCAUGCCAUGAGCAGCUGUCCUCUCACCAUGCAUUGCUGCAUUUAAACCUACUGACCAUGGACUGAAACUUCUGAAACUUAUUUUCAGUGGUUGGCUGAAUCACGAAGGCAGAAGCCACAUACGGAAGGCUGAUUAUAUCAACAAGAAAGGAAUGAACUAAAAGGACACUGGGUAGCUCUUGAAUGGCCAGCAAGACCAGGAGCUGGGACUGCUCAAUGGAAAGCUGCAAAAGGAGAAUACACAGCCAGAGCCCCAGCAUCCCUCUGUGAUGCUCCUCUGCCACGCCGGCCUGCCUUGGAGCCAGCCAACUAUAGACCGAAACCUCUACAAACUGUCCAUAUCAGGAGGUCUGCGGUGGAAGGCUGAAGGAUCUAUGCUGGAAGCUGAAGAGUUUGAGCUGGAAGCCAGGAGAUGACUUCCAAGGUGAAAAAACUGGAGCAGGACAUCAAGAACCUGGAAAGAAGCCCCAUAGGACUUAGCACCUGGUAACAACUCUGACGGGGUCCAGAUCUGUGGUCUUACCUACAGAAACAGUUGAAAGUACCUGGCCUUCCUGUGUCAGUGGAUGAGCUCCAAGCACCCUGAGGCCCUACCACUCCUGGGCCCCCAGCCACAUCCUUGAAGGAUAGUGUGACGUCACUGCCCCGUGACCAAGCAAGGCCAGGCUGCUCUUGGCCACCUCAAGGUUGCCAUGGGAUCCCACUGCUCCAAAAGAAAAUGCAGAUGGUGGUUCUGGGUGGCCUCAAGAUUGUGUGCCAGGUGACUACAAGAAAGUUAGUCCUUCCGGUUCACCUGGCCCAAGAGGUUGGCUGAAAUUACCAGGCAGUGGCAGCCACCUACUGCUGGAAGAGGAAACAGCUUGUGAGGCUACAAAAAUGCAGAAAAAAACAGGGGAAGAAAACUGACAAAUACAGAGAGGCCCUGCAGACCAUAGAUUCCUGCUCUGAGCCCAGUAAAGGUUGUUUAUUCUUAAAAAACUUAAAAUUAAAAAAUAAUAAAAAUAUCAAGAUCAUCCAGAAGAGACUGGAGGUAGGGAUCAAGUCCAGGCACAAAGCCAGGAAUUCAGACCGGAAGACAGGCUGGGUAGGGUGAGUUAGGAUCAGGUAGCAGUGGGACCAGCUCCCCUGAGGACCACCCAGCAUACAGGCAACUGUUUCAAGCUUGGUUUUAAGGUCUGGCAGGAAGGCGGAAAGCAGCUGGAUGGCCAGUCACAGGUUCAGAGGUGGCUCUGCCAUGGCCCAGUGCAAAAGGCAUGCCCUGAACCCUUAAUGCAAACUGAAUCGAACCACAGUUAUAGAUUGCAUAUUUAGAACUACAGUGGAAUUUUCCAGGAGCAGUCAGAGCCAGAGAGCUCCGUGCAAGUAGACAAAAAUCUGCUAAUCCUUGGUAUCAGAGGUCUUGGGAAAUAAAG
ensembl:lncRNA